rnacentral:rRNA from 1 species
CGAGUGGCGGACGGGUGAGUAAUGUCUGGGAAACUGCCCGAUGGAGGGGGAUAACUACUGGAAACGGUAGCUAAUACCGCAUAACGUCGCAAGACCAAAGAGGGGGACCUUCGGGCCUCUUGCCAUCGGAUGUGCCCAGAUGGGAUUAGCUAGUAGGUGGGGUAAAGGCUCACCUAGGCGACGAUCCCUAGCUGGUCUGAGAGGAUGACCAGCCACACUGAAACUGAGACACGGUCCAG